CCGUAUGUGUCCUUCGGGAGAAAGAUUUAUCGGCAAGAGAUGAGCCCGCGUUGGAUNAGCUAGUUGGUGGGGUAAAGGCCUACCAAGGCGACGAUCCAUAGCUGGUCUGAGAGGAUGAUCAGCCACAUUGGGACUGAGACACGGCCCAAACUCCUACGGGAGGCAGCAGUGGGGAAUAUUGGACAAUGGGCGCAAGCCUGAUCCAGCCAUGCCGCGUGAGUGAUGAAGGCCCUAGGGUUGUAAAGCUCUUUCACCGGAGAAGAUAAUGACGGUAUCCGGAGAAGAAGCCCCGGCUAACUUCGUGCCAGCAGCCGCGGUAAUACGAAGGGGGCUAGCGUUGUUCGGAAUUACUGGGCGUAAAGCGCACGUAGGCGGAUCGAUCAGUCAGGGGUGAAAUCCCAGGGCUCAACCCUGGAACUGCCUUUGAUACUGUCGAUCUGGAGUAUGGAAGAGGUGAGUGGAAUUCCGAGUGUAGAGGUGAAAUUCGUAGAUAUUCGGAGGAACACCAGUGGCGAAGGCGGCUCACUGGUCCAUUACUGACGCUGAGGUGCGAAAGCGUGGGGAGCA
rnacentral:rRNA from 1 species